rnacentral:rRNA from 1 species
CGGUUAAGGCCCCCCUCGGGGGGCGCAUAGAGUGGCGAACGGGUGAGUAACACGUGACCAACCCGCCCCCCCCACCGGGACAACCUCGGGAAACCGAGGCUAAUACCGGAUACGCCGGGGCCCCCGCAUGGGGGCUUCGGGAAAGCUCUGGCGGGAGGGGACGGGGUCGCGGCCCAUCAGGUAGACGGCGGGGCGAAGGCCCGCCGUGCCGACGACGGGUAGCCGGGCUGAGAGGCCGAUCGGCCACAUUGGGACUGAGACACGGCCCAGACUCCUACGGGAGGCAGCAGUGGGGAAUAUUGCGCAAUGGGGGAAACCCUGACGCAGCGACGCCGCGUGCGGGAAGGAGGCCUUCGGGUCGUAAACCGCUUUCAGCAGGGAAGAAGCCUGACGGUACCUGCAGAAGAAGCCCCGGCUAACUACGUGCCAGCAGCCGCGGUAAUACGUAGGGGGCGAGCGUUAUCCGGAUUCAUUGGGCGUAAAGCGCGCGCAGGCGGCCCGCCAAGCGGCCUCGUCGAAGCCGGGGGCUCAACCCCCGGAAGCGACCCGAACUGGCGGGCUCGAGUGGGGCAGGGGAGGAUGGAAUUCCCGGUGUAGCGGUGAAAUGCGCAGAUAUCGGGAGGAACACCGACGGCGAAGGCAGCCCUCUGGGCCUUCACUGACGCUGAGGCGCGAAAGCUGGGGGAGCGAACAGGAUUAGAUACCCUGGUAGUCCCAGCCGUAAACGAUGGGCGCUAGGUGCGGGGGGACGACCCCUCCGUGCCGCAGCCAACGCAUUAAGCGCCCCGCCUGGGGAGUACGGCCGCAAGGCUAAAACUCAAAGGAAUUGACGGGGGCCCGCACAAGCAGCGGAGCAUGUGGCUUAAUUCGAAGCAACGCGAAGAACCUUACCAGGGCUUGACAUGCGGGUGAAGCGGCGGAGACGCCGUGGCCGGAAGGAGCCCGCGCAGGUGGUGCAUGGCUGUCGUCAGCUCGUGUCGUGAGAUGUUGGGUUAAGUCCCGCAACGAGCGCAACCCCCGCCGCAUGUUGCCAGCAUUCAGUUGGGCACUCAUGCGGGACCGCCGGCGCCAAGCCGGAGGAAGGCGGGGACGACGUCAAGUCAUCAUGCCCCCCAUGCCCUGGGCCGCACACGUGCUACAAUGGCCGGCACAGCGGGCAGCGGACCCGCGAGGGCGAGCGAAUCCCUUAAAGCCGGCCCCAGUUCGGAUCGGAGGCUGCAACCCGCCUCCGUGAAGCCGGAGUUGCUAGUAAUCGCGGAUCAGCACGCCGCGGUGAAUGCGUUCCCGGGCCUUGUACACACCGCCCGUCACACCACCCGAGUCGUCUGCACCCGAAGCCGCCGGCCCAACCCGCGAGGGGG